CCUACGGGCGGCAGCAGUGAGGAAUAUUGGUCAAUGGACGAGAGUCUGAACCAGCCAAGUAGCGUGAAGGAUGACUGCCCUAUGGGUUGUAAACUUCUUUUAUAUGGGAAUAAAACGUUCCACGUGUGGGAUUUUGUAUGUACCAUAUGAAUAAGGAUCGGCUAACUCCGUGCCAGCAGCCGCGGUAAUACGGAGGAUCCGAGCGUUAUCCGGAUUUAUUGGGUUUAAAGGGAGCGUAGGUGGAUUGUUAAGUCAGUUGUGAAAGUUUGCGGCUCAACCGUAAAAUUGCAGUUGAAACUGGCAGUCUUGAGUACGGUAGAGGUGGGCGGAAUUCGUGGUGUAGCGGUGAAAUGCUUAGAUAUCACGAAGAACUCCGAUUGCGAAGGCAGUUCACUGGACUGCAACUGACACUGAGGCUCGAAAGUGUGGGUAUCAAACAGGAUUAGAUACCCGAGUAGUC
rnacentral:rRNA from 1 species